CAAAUUUCUACAGCAGUUAUGUAGUUGAGUAAAUUUUUUUUAAUGAAAUGCUUAUGAGAUGUGAUUUAACAGUGCUGACAUUGAAAAAUAGCUCCUGUUCUUUCCCUUGUUUUAUGUAAGUGGGAGUUUUAAGGCAGAUAUGUUUUUGCAUGGUGUAGCCUUUUUUUUUUCUUUAUUGGUCAUUUCUUAACCAGGACUCAUGUGUCCCUAUCUCUUAAGAGGUCCAGAGUCUUGGAAAGUCCACAGUACUUUGAAAGCUUGAUGUUUCCUUACUGCCACCAAAGGAGUGUAGGAAAAAUCUGAAAUCCCCCAGAUUGGAAAAUAUCCUGUGAAUACACAUUUUUCUGACUGCUCCAUGUCAUCAGAUGUCUUUAUCUUCAGCUGCAGUUCUCUGAGAGAUACUGGGGUAUGCAGGAUGCAGAAGAAGGUCUUAGUUUCACUGCACAGUUUGACAGCAUGCCAAGUGUAUAGUGACAUUUUACACAGUGCUGCUCUACACUGUUCUCCAGGCUGGAGAAGGGCCUGGUGCAGAGCUUGAGUGCAGCCAGGUUUUACUCAAAGGGGCAGGAGACCCACUGUCUCCAGACUUCUCAGCCCAGAGGAGCCACUGGGUACAACAAAAGCAUAGUAACUCCAGGUUCCACAGUGUCGUGAGAAGGGUAACCCAGGUAUUUCAUGAGCUGCUUGAAAUAUUUGGAGAUUGAAUAGAAUGACUGGAUAAAAACCAAACUACAAGACCAGCUGGUUCACUGAAAGGCUGCUACUUUUACUCAUUCCACUAACGCAGUGGCUGAAAAAAUGACUGAAAAUUGUAGUCAUUUUUCAAAAUGACUGAUUUCACAAGCAACUCAUCUGUCUGGCUGUACCACGAAUAGGAAAUUGCACUGAGACCAUUUCUGCAAAGGAUCUCCAUUAAAGCACGAAGAACAACAGUUUGAUUGUAACUGCUGUAAAACAAAGAGCUUCACUCAGCUCUUGUGUGAAGUUGGAGUGCUGUUGCUCUGGGCGAGCUUUGGAGCAAAGAACAAUUUAAUGUAGAAUCUUAUGGCCAAAUACUGACGGGGAGAUAGAAAGAUGCCUAAAUUUCAUUUACCUGCCACAAAGCUGACUGUAUUAUAUGAUUAACAACAAUAACAACAAAAAUUGUCUGACAUGCUGUGUGCUCUGACAGAACUGAAACCUGCAAGGGAAAGAUGUGUGGAAAAGCAGAGUUUUAUGUUUAGGUUUGUCAGUGGUAAGAAUGACUUUUCCAUAUCAUCUCCUUUAAGGUAAAACUUUGAAGAUCUAAUUUUCUAAGGUCCUCUGUAAGAGUAAGUGUGGCCAUGCUGAUAUCAACAGCUUGGCUUGGAACAGCAAUGUAUUGCUGCACAGAUCUCCUGGUUGCUCCUUUCUUGUACUUGGAUUUGGUUUGCAAUGUAUUAAACUAGGAACAAGGGGAAGCUUUGAUUUAUUGAUCUCUUCCUAUUGCACAGAAUUACUUGCCAAUAUAGAUAAAAUCUGUGAGGCCCUAGAAAGACCCUCCUGCACACACUAGUGUUACACUGGUCUACUCUCCCUAGCCUCACUGGAAAUGAAUGAAACUUCACCUUAAGAGCUUAUUUGCAAAAGGUGUGGGUAACUUUGAGAUACCUUCUGUUUGAAAGCAACUGUAACCUGUUAAGCAUGACAAUAUAUUUGUAAUUUUCAUACUCUUUUGCUGUUCCUGUACUUCUGAAUUCUCUGUGACCUUGCAAGCUAUGUCUGCACUUGUGGAGAGAGUCAUACAAACAGGCUAUAGAUGCAUGGCUAGUCUGCUUAGGAGCCUGAUAAACUAGCCUCUGUGAACUCUGUACUACCUCAACUGCUUUUUGGUUGUUUUGUAGGAUAAAGAACCUUAAUGAAAAGCUUAUUCCAGAGACUUGUGACUACCCCACUGUCUGUGUUGUCAGCACAACCCCGUGGGAAUGCUCUCAGGUUUUGGUCCUAAGCAGAGCAGAACUGAUCCUCUGAGGAAACAACUAAGAAAGGAAAGCAGACAUGAUGCUGCAGCAAUACUUGGAGAUGUCAUUAUCUGUGUGCAAUUAAGUGGUAUGAAUAUUUAUCACGGGGGUGGAAAUUGCAUGUUCUGUAGCUCCAAAACCAGUGGCACACAUCUGAAUUUUGCAUACACUUUCAUAAGAGACUUUCAUGCAUAAGUGGAGCAGAGCUCUCCACACCUUCAAAUCAGAUUUCUCAUUUGUAUUCACUAUAUAAAUACCACAUAGAAAUUUGGACACAGCUGUCUCAUGGUCAUUUGAUUCAGCCAUUCUUAUGACCUGGAACAGUACAAACAAAUGAAGACACAAAAUUAGUUGUAGUCACACCACAGUUUGAGCACAGGGUAGUUACAAUAACUCCACUAAAUUGUUCUGGAUCCAGAGCAACAACAUUAUAUUACUUACCUUACAUUCUGAUGAAUAUCUUAUAUUUUUAUGAUCUGUUUUUGCUAAUAAUCGUGGUAUUUUGUUUUCAUAACGUUUGUAGUCAGUUGCUUGGCUAUAUGAUCUUGGGUGUCGUCUCUACAGUUGACUAGGAGGUACAAUUCCUGAUUUAUUCUGAGAAUCUGAGCCACUUUUCAGUACCACUCCAUCUCAGGAAACAUUUUUUCCAGAGACUCCAAGGAGUAUAUAGAGUGGCAGAGACUGCUAAGAAGCAUAAUUUAUCUUUUUGUUAGAGGAGUUGGCAAAGGAUCCAGUCCAUUCUAUGAAAAAUGUAAACAUUUCAAAUUUUCUUUUUGGUCCCACUUGGGCAAAAUAACACUUUGGAGUGGCCCACAAAAAUAUCAGAAAGACCUUACAAAACUGAU
ensembl:lncRNA